AGAGUUUGAUCCUGGCUCAGAUUGAACGCUGGCGGCGUGCUUAACACAUGCAAGUCGAACGCGAAAGGGGCUUCGGCCCUGAGUAAAUGGCGCACGGGUGAGUAACGCGUGGAUAAUCUGCCCUUAUGAUCGGGAUAACAGUUGGAAACGGCUGCUAAUACCGGAUACGCUCAAGAUGAACUUUUUGAGGAAAGAUGGCCUCUGCUUGCAUGCUAUCGCGUAAGGAUGAGUCCGCGUCCCAUUAGCUUGUUGGCGGGGUAACGGCCCACCAAGGCAACGAUGGGUAGCCGAUUUGAGAGGAUGAUCGGCCACACUGGAACUGAAACACGGUCCAGACUCCU
rnacentral:rRNA from 1 species